AUCGUAUUUCUGUAUAGGCUAUUGUGGCUAGGAUUUAUCUUUGAUAACUUUCUCCAUUAUGCGCUGAUUAGAGGAAUUACACUAUAUUUUUUAAUGUGCCGAGAUUGGCGCAAGGAGGAGUUCAAUUAUUAUGGAACAAGGAACAGUUAAAUGGUUUAAUGCUGAUAAAGGUUUUGGCUUUAUCACACGCGAAGAUGGUAGCGAUGUAUUCGUACACUUCUCAGCUAUCCAAGGUGAAGGCUUCAAGACUUUAGAUGAAGGCCAACACGUAACUUUCGAUGUUGAAGAAAGCGAACGCGGACCACAAGCUGCUAACGUAGUAAAAGACUAAUAAGUGGUCUAAGUCAUAACGCUUAGACUUUUGAAUCGAAAAGAGGCUGUCUUGUACGGUCUCUUUUUUG
rnacentral:sRNA from 1 species